GACGAACGCUGGCGGCGUGCUUAACACAUGCAAGUCGAACGGAAAGGCCCUGCUUUUGUGGGGUGCUCGAGUGGCGAACGGGUGAGUAACACGUGAGUAACCUGCCCUUGACUUUGGGAUAACUUCAGGAAGCUGGGGCUAAUACCGGAUAGGAGCUCCUGCUGCAUGGUGGGGGUUGGAAAGUUUCGGCGGUUGGGGAUGGACUCGCGGCUUAUCAGCUUGUUGGUGGGGUAGUGGCUUACCAAGGCUUUGACGGGUAGCCGGCCUGAGAGGGUGACCGGCCACAUUGGGACUGAGAUACGGCCCAGACUCCUACGGGAGGCAGCAGUGGGGAAUAUUGCACAAUGGGCGGAAGCCUGAUGCAGCAACGCCGCGUGCGGGAUGACGGCCUUCGGGUUGUAAACCACUUUCGCCUGUGACGAAGCGUGAGUGACGGUAAUGGGUAAAGAAGCACCGGCUAACUACGUG
rnacentral:rRNA from 1 species